rnacentral:rRNA from 1 species
AUGGAGUCCACCGGCGCUGCCAUCUCGGCGCCGUUCGGCUGCCGCGCGUUGCGCUGGGCCGGGCAGCGGCCUCUCCGGCCGGCCGAUGCCAGGAGAAGGCGGGUGGGUCCGGGCCCCGGGCCGGAGCAGUGGAGGAGCUUGAAGGCGAGCUGUGUGGCCACGGAGAAGCCCGACGAGAAGGCGGCGCCGGGGCUGGGGGUAGACUUCGCCGACGAGGAGGACUACGUCAAGGGCGGCGGCGGUGAGCUGCUCUACGUGCAAAUGCAGGCCACCAAGGCCAUGGAAAGCCAGUCCAAGAUCGCCUCCAAGCUGUUGCCUAUAGCUGAUGAAACUUCAGUGCUUGAUUUGGUUAUCAUUGGCUGUGGUCCAGCCGGCCUAUCUCUGGCUGCAGAAUCAGCAAAGAAAGGACUCACUGUUGGUCUCAUUGGCCCUGAUCUUCCAUUCACAAACAAUUACGGUGUAUGGGAGGACGAAUUCAAAGAUCUCGGCCUGGAGAGCUGUAUUGAGCAUGUAUGGAAGGAUACUGUCGUGUACCUUGACCGUAACAAGCCGAUAAUGAUUGGCCGAGCAUAUGGCCGGGUGGACCGAGACUUGCUGCACGAGGAGUUGCUGAGAAGAUGCAAUGAAGCUGGUGUUACAUACCUCAACUCAAAGGUUGAACAGAUAAAAGAAUCUCCAGAUGGACAUCGAGUGGUAUAUUGUGGAAGGGGCCGCAAGAUACUUUGCAGGCUUGCCAUUGUUGCAUCUGGAGCAGCAUCUGGUAAACUUCUAGAGUAUGAGGUUGGAGGACCACGUGUUUGUGUGCAGACUGCAUACGGUGUAGAAGUCGAGGUUGAAAGAUAUCCGUACGAUCCCAGCUUAAUGGUUUUCAUGGACUACAGAGAUUGUUUCAAAGAGAAGUUCACACACCCUGAGGAAGCCAAUCCAACAUUUCUCUAUGCCAUGGCCAUGUCAUCUACACGAGUUUUCUUUGAGGAAACAUGCUUAGCUUCAAAAGAUGCAAUGCCUUUUGAUCUCCUUAAGAAGAGGUUGAUGUCUCGGUUGGAUGCGAUGGGAGUUCGUAUCAUAAAAGUAUACGAGGAGGAGUGGUCUUAUAUUCCUGUUGGAGGAUCCUUACCUAACACAGACCAGAAGAAUCUUGCAUUUGGUGCUGCAGCGAGUAUGGUCCAUCCUGCAACUGGAUAUUCGGUGGUCAGAUCUUUGUCUGAAGCUCCUAGAUAUGCUUCUGUGAUAUCUGAUAUCUUACGAAAUCGUGUCUAUUCUGGACAAUAUUUGCCUGGAAGUUCUGAAAUGUCCAGUCCAUCAAUGCUUGCAUGGGGAACACUAUGGCCUCAAGAACGGAAACGUCAGCGCUCAUUCUUCCUCUUUGGAUUGGCCUUGAUAAUUCAACUGGAUAACGAAGGCAUUCAAACAUUCUUCGAGAGCUUUUUCCGGUUACCCAAAUGGAUGUGGCGAGGAUUCCUUGGUUCGACGCUUUCGUCAGCGGAUCUCAUGCUGUUUGCACUCUACAUGUUUGCAAUUGCGCCAAACACUUUGCGAAUGAACCUCGUCAGACACCUCCUCUCGGACCCGACUGGUUCGGCAAUGAUCAGGACCUACCUGACCUUGUAA